AGGGGUGAAUGCCUUAUGUUACAUAUAGGGGCUGGGGUAUAAACCUUAUCUUACACUGAUAUAGGGGUGAACGCCUUAAUAUGUUACACAUAGGGGCAGGGGUAUAAACCUUAUCUUACACUGAUAUAGGGGUGAAUGCCUUAAUAUGUUACACAUAGGGGCAGGGGUAUAAACCUUAUCUUACACUGAUAUAGGGGUGAACGCCUUCUGUUACAUAUAGGGGCAGGGGUAUAACCUUAUGUUACACUGAUAUAGGGGUGAAUGCCUUAUGUUACACAUAGGGGCGGGGGUAUAAACCUUAUCUUACACUGAUAUAUAGGGGUGAAUGCCUUAAUAUGUUACACAUAGGGGCAGGGGUGUAAACCUUAUCUUACACUGAUAUAGGGGUGAACGCCUUAUGUUACAUAUAGGGGCAGGAGUAUAAACCUUAUCUUACACUGAUAUA
rnacentral:lncRNA from 1 species